rnacentral:rRNA from 1 species
UACGAAGGGGGCUAGCGUUGUUCGGAAUUACUGGGCGUAAAGCGUGCGCAGGCGGCAUUCCAAGUCAGAGGUGAAAUCCCAGGGCUUAACCCUGGAACUGCCUUUGAAACUAGAGUGCUGGAGUCUUGGAGGGGUUAGGGGAAUUCCUAAUGUAGCAGUGAAAUGCGUAGAUAUUAGGAGGAACACCAGUGGCGAAGGCGCCUAACUGGCCAAGUACUGACGCUCAUGCACGAAAGCGUGGGGAUCAAACAGG